UACAGAGGAGCCAAGCGUUGUCCGGAUUGACUGGGCGUAAAGCGCACGCAGGCGGACGCGCGCGUGGGGUGUGAAAUCUGGCCGCUUAACGGCCAGGCGCCAUCCCAUACGGCGCGUCUGGAGCCUUGCAGAGGUCGGUGGAAUUGCCGGUGUAGUGGUGAAAUGCGCAGAUAUCAGGAGGAACACCGGUGGCGAAGGCGGGUCUCUGGGCCGAUACUGACGCUGAGACACGAAAGCGUGGGGAGCAAACAGG
rnacentral:rRNA from 1 species